CCUACGGGAGGCAGCAGUGAGGAAUAUUGGUCAAUGGACGAGAGUCUGAACCAGCCAAGUAGCGUGAGGGAUGACUGCCCUAUGGGUUGUAAACUUCUUUUAUCUGGGAAUAAAAUGUUCCACGUGUGGGAUUUUGUAUGUACCCUAUGAAUAAGGAUCGGCUAACUCCGUGCCAGCAGCCGCGGUAAUACGGAGGAUCCGAGCGUUAUCCGGAUUUAUUGGGUUUAAAGGGAGCGUAGGUGGGUUGUUAAGUCAGUUGUUAAAGUUGGCGGCUCAACCGUAGAAGUGCAGUUGAAACUGGCAGACUUGAGUACAGGAGAGGUGCGCGGAAUGCGUGGUGUAGCGGUGAAAUGCUUAGAUAUCACGAAGAACUCCGAUUGCGAAGGCAGCGCACUGGAGUCAAACUGACGCUGAGGCACGAAAGCGUGGGUAUCAAACAGGAUUAGAUACCCUAGUAGUC
rnacentral:rRNA from 1 species